GCCAAGCUUGCUUGGUGGAUCAGUGGCGAACGGGUGAGUAACACGUGAGCAACCUGCCCUGGACUCUGGGAUAAGCGCUGGAAACGGCGUCUAAUACUGGAUAUGAGCUCUCAUCGCAUGGUGGGGGUUGGAAAGAUUUUUCGGUCUGGGAUGGGCUCGCGGCCUAUCAGCUUGUUGGUGAGGUAAUGGCUCACCAAGGCGUCGACGGGUAGCCGGCCUGAGAGGGUGACCGGCCACACUGGGACUGAGACACGGCCCAGACUCCUACGGGAGGCAGCAGUGGGGAAUAUUGCACAAUGGGCGGAAGCCUGAUGCAGCAACGCCGCGUGAGGGAUGACGGCCUUCGGGUUGUAAACCUCUUUUAGCAGGGAAGAAGCGAGAGUGACGGUACCUGCAGAAAAAGCGCCGGCUAACUACGUGCCAGCAGCCGCGGUAAUACGUAGGGCGCAAGCGUUAUCCGGAAUUAUUGGGCGUAAAGAGCUCGUAGGCGGUUUGUCGCGUCUGCUGUGAAAUCCCGAGGCUCAACCUCGGGCCUGCAGUGGGUACGGGCAGACUAGAGUGCGGUAGGGGAGAUUGGAAUUCCUGGUGUAGCGGUGGAAUGCGCAGAUAUCAGGAGGAACACCGAUGGCGAAGGCAGAUCUCUGGGCCGUAACUGACGCUGAGGAGCGAAAGGGUGGGGAGCAAACAGGCUUAGAUACCCUGGUAGUCCACCCCGUAAACGUUGGGAACUAGUUGUGGGGACCAUUCCACGGUUUCCGUGACGCAGCUAACGCAUUAAGUUCCCCGCCUGGGGAGUACGGCCGCAAGGCUAAAACUCAAAGGAAUUGACGGGGACCCGCACAAGCGGCGGAGCAUGCGGAUUAAUUCGAUGCAACGCGAAGAACCUUACCAAGGCUUGACAUACACCAGAACACCGUAGAAAUACGGGACUCUUUGGACACUGGUGAACAGGUGGUGCAUGGUUGUCGUCAGCUCGUGUCGUGAGAUGUUGGGUUAAGUCCCGCAACGAGCGCAACCCUCGUUCUAUGUUGCCAGCACGUAAUGGUGGGAACUCAUGGGAUACUGCCGGGGUCAACUCGGAGGAAGGUGGGGAUGACGUCAAAUCAUCAUGCCCCUUAUGUCUUGGGCUUCACGCAUGCUACAAUGGCCGGUACAAAGGGCUGCAAUACCGUGAGGUGGAGCGAAUCCCAAAAAGCCGGUCCCAGUUCGGAUUGAGGUCUGCAACUCGACCUCAUGAAGUCGGAGUCGCUAGUAAUCGCAGAUCAGCAACGCUGCGGUGAAUACGUUCCCGGGUCUUGUACACACCGCCCGUCAAGUCAUGAAAGUCGGUAACACCUGAAGCCGGUGGCCCAACCCUUGUGGA
rnacentral:rRNA from 1 species